CGGCCCCUCCAGGGGUAAGUGAAAAGAUGGUGGACCAUGAACAUGUGCGUAAUUCAUGCCGUAUGUCUGCUGACCAUCACCUUCUGAAGCCCGUUCUCACUGA
rnacentral:pre_miRNA from 1 species